rnacentral:rRNA from 1 species
CCUACGGGUGGCAGCAGUGGGGAAUAUUGGACAAUGGGCGAAAGCCUGAUCCAGCCAUGCCGCGUGUGUGAAGAAGGCCUUCGGGUUGUAAAGCACUUUCAGUGGGGAAGAAAGCCUUGGGGCUAAUACCCUCGAGGAAGGACAUCACCCACAGAAGAAGCACCGGCUAACUCCGUGCCAGCAGCCGCGGUAAUACGGAGGGUGCGAGCGUUAAUCGGAAUUACUGGGCGUAAAGCGAGCGUAGGCGGUCUGAUAAGCCGGUUGUGAAAGCCCCGGGCUCAACCUGGGAACGGCAUCCGGAACUGUCAGGCUAGAGUGCAGGAGAGGAAGGUAGAAUUCCCGGUGUAGCGGUGAAAUGCGUAGAGAUCGGGAGGAAUACCAGUGGCGAAGGCGGCCUUCUGGACUGACACUGACGCUGAGGUGCGAAAGCGUGGGUAGCAAACAGGAUUAGAUACCCGUGUAGUC